UGAAGGUGAUCGUGAAUUAGGACCAAUAUUCACGUGAAAGUCCAUUGGUGGAAUACUCUGUGAACCAAGUCAAUAUAAAGAAAAUAAAUGUUUGCGUUUAUGACAUGCUUGCUGUUGCAUGUGCUUGCGGUUAUCACAACCGAGACCUUCGCUUUCAGUUUUUGAAACCACUCUAAAACAUGGAAAACUAAACAUGUGCAUAUAUAGUGUUAAUUGUUUUAUUUGAAGUGCACAUAAACCAUGCAAUGUACUGAAAAGCGUGUUCGUGUGGUGAUGCUCGUAUUGUCUUCAUAUAAUUCAAUGUAAACAAUGUGUUCCUUACAUCUGUCAUAUUUCUCUCCGGGGUUCAAGAACAAAUACUCUUUUCCUUUCUGUGAGCGUAGUCCAAGUCUGGUAGACUGUUUUAGCCUUUAACAAUUGAAAUUGAUAUUAAGAAUUGUGGGAAUUCAUUUUUCUUUAAUACAGAUUUCUUCAGUUAAAGAAUUAGUUGUGAUGCAAAAAUAAUUGUAAGAGAAACAUAUUUUGCAAGAAUCAAGAUUGUGUGCAUGUAUAUCUAAGGUAGGGAUCAACUUUUAGCAGACGGAAUAGCACCAACAUCUUAUACCAGGUAUUUCGCGUCCUGGUAAACCACCAGCAAUUUUUUAUAUAUUAUUUUGAUCUAGUUACCUAGGAAUGAUGUCCCUCCGACUUUGCUUUGUAUUCUUAAUCCACAUGUCGUGAGAGAAUGUAGGUCUUGAAAUUUUUUUUUUUUUAUCAAAUGCCAGAAACAUUCAAUACGUGCUGACAUUUUAUUAUCUCAGCCGCUGAACAGUUUAUCGAUUUUCUUUUCUUUCUGUAAAAAAAAAUACACCAUGCUAGUUGUAUGCCUUUUAUGUGUUCAUAAAAUGUAUUUUCGAGUAAAAAAUACACGACAUCUUAAAUGUUUUCUAUCA
rnacentral:misc_RNA from 1 species